AAUACUCUAUCAGCUAUGUUGUUGCUUUCAUCAUUUCUCCUCUCAGUCCUUGUUGGUGUCAGUUUUGAAGAUGACAUUAAUCCCACUAGGCGUAUGGUGGAUGGUGUGGAGGGUGAUACUAUCACAUUAUCCUGCAGCUACACUGGCUCUGUAAACAAUCUACAGUGGUAUCGUCAGUAUCUCAGGUCUAAACCAGAGUUCCUGAUUCUCAUCACUAAAUCAGGAUAUGUCCAGAAACCUGUCCCUCCUCGCAUGUCAGCUCAGGUUCAAACCGACCGCAUGGAUCUGGAGAUCUCCUCUGCUGAAGUGACAGACUCUGCUCUGUACUACUGUGCCCUGGAGCCCACAGUGACAGGAAACCCAGACACACUGUACAAAAACCUGUCAAGUGCCUUGGCAAGAAACCAAUGAUAAGGGGAGGAGCUACAGUAAGCAGAAAUGAAUUAAGAUACAGCUAGGCAACAGAGGAAUAAAUUAUCAUAGCCAAGAUUAUGUUUCUGUAUGCAGUGCUGCUGCUCUGUACAU